rnacentral:tRNA from 1 species
CUACAGUCGAAUGCUCUACCAAGGGCUCAGGAUGAUUCGAUGUUCGUGCCUACUGAGCUACGUCAGG